AACGAACGCUGGCGGCAGGCCUAACACAUGCAAGUCGAACGCCCUAGCAAUAGAGAGUGGCAGACGGGUGAGUAACGCGUGGGAACCUUCCCUGUGGUGCGGAAUAACUCGCCGAAAGGCGUGCUAAUACCGCAUAAGCCCGCAAGGGGAAAGAUUUAUCGCCAUAGGAUGGGCCCGCGUAGGAUUAGCUAGUUGGUGAGGUAAUGGCUCACCAAGGCGACGAUCCUAGCUGGUUUGAGAGAAUGACCAGCCACACUGGGACUGAGACACGGCCCAGACUCCUACGGGAGGCAGCAGUGGGGAAUCUUGGACAAUGGGCGCAAGCCUGAUUCAGCCAUGCCGCGUGAGUGACGAAGGCC
rnacentral:rRNA from 1 species